GAUGAAGAACGCAGCGAAAUGCGAUACGUAAUGUGAAUUGCAGAAUUCAGUGAAUCAUCGAAUCUUUGAACGCGUAUUGCGCUCUCUGGUAUUCCGGAGAGCAUGCUUGUUUGAGUAUCAGUAAACACCUCAACUCCCUUUUCUUCUUUGAAAUUGGAGCUGGACUUGAGUGAUCCCAACGCUUUCUUCCAAGAAAGUGGCGGGUUGCUUGAAAUGCAGGUGCAGCUGAACUUUUCUCUGAGCUAUAAGCAUAUCUAUUUAGUCUGCCUAAAAAACAGAUUAUUACCUUUGCUGCAGCUAACAUAAAGGAGACUAGUUCUUGUGCUGACUGAUGCAGGAUUCACAGAGACAGCUUCGGCUGACUUUGUAAACUCGAUCUCAAAUCAAGUAAGACUACCCGCUGAACUUAAGCAUAUCAAUAAGCGGAGGA
rnacentral:misc_RNA from 1 species